rnacentral:rRNA from 1 species
GAUGAACGCUAGCUACGGGCUUAACACAUGCAAGUCGCGGGGCAGCAUGUAUCUGGCUUGCCAGAUACGAUGGCGACCGGCGCACGGGUGAGUAACGCGUAUCCAACCUGCCCAUAACCACGGCACAGCCCGUCGAAAGGCGGAUUAAUGCCGUAUGAGGUUCCGGCGUAGCAUUAUGAUGGAACGAAAGGAUUGGCGGUUAUGGAUGGGGAUGCGUCCGAUUAGCUUGUUGGCGGGGUAACGGCCCACCAAGGCGACGAUCGGUAGGGGUUCUGAGAGGAAGGUCCCCCACACUGGAACUGAGACACGGUCCAGACUCCUACGGGAGGCAGCAGUGAGGAAUAUUGGUCAAUGGGCGCAAGCCUGAACCAGCCAAGUAGCGUGCAGGAAUGACGGCCCUAUGGGUUGGUAAACUGCUUUUUUCGCGGGGAUAAAGAGGGGAUGCGUCCCCCCGUUGCAGGUACCGCGUGAAUAAGGAACCGGCUAAUUCCGUGCCAGCCGCCGCAGUAAC